GCUUGAGUUCCACACACUCCGGUGAGACCUGAGCACCGCGGGUGGGCUGCUUGUGUCAAACGCUGUGAUACACACCGAUGGGAGCGGGGAGCAACGGGAGAAAGACGGAGAUAAGUCAAGAAACAGCUGGAGUGAGUUCACCUCAUUCAGUGGUCCUUUAGGAGAUGUAGCAGAUGGACAAUAUCCUUGCAGAGCUGGAGUUUCCCAUUCAGGAGAAAAAUGGCCCAAAAAAC